GGAGGAGUGCCUGAGUGGCCUAUAGGAGCGGUUUGCUAAACCGUGACGCAUACCAGCGUCCGCGGGUUCGAAUCCCGCCUCCUCCGCCA
rnacentral:tRNA from 1 species